rnacentral:rRNA from 1 species
UACAGAGGGUGCUAGCGUUGUUCGGAUUCAUUGGGCGUAAAGGGCGCGUAGGCGGCGGGGUAAGUCGGGUGUGAAAUCUCAGAGCUCAACUCUGAAACUGCACUCGAUACUGCUCUGCUUGAGGACUGGAGAGGAGACUGGAAUUCACGGUGUAGCAGUGAAAUGCGUAGAUAUCGUGAGGAAGACCAGUGGCGAAGGCGGGUCUCUGGACAGUUCCUGACGCUGA